rnacentral:rRNA from 1 species
UUAAGCAAAGAAGAGCGCAGGGUGGAUGCCUUGGCACUAAGAGCCGAAGAAAGACGUGAUAAGCUGCGAAAAGCUGCGGGGAGAUGCAAAUAAUCCUUGAUCCGCAGAUGUCUGAAUGGGGAAACCCGGUACGAAGAACUCGUAUCAUCCAUACGCCAAUCCAUAACGUAUGGAGGGGAACCCGGUGAACUGAAACAUCUAAGUAGCCGGAGGAAGAGAAAGAAACAUCGAUUUUGUUAGUAGCGGCGAGCGAAAGCGAAAGAGGCCAAACCGGAGUGCGUGCACUCCGGGGUUCGGACCGCAUUUAAGAUUCAGUGAUUCUAGCAGAAAGGUUUGGGAAAGCCUGCCGGAGAGGGUGAAAGCCCCGUAAGCGAAAGGAGAGCUGACUGAGCGGAAUCCAGAGUACAUCGAGACACGAGAAACCUUGAUGGAAUGAGCGGGGACCACCCCGUAAGCCUAAAUACUACUUAGUGACCGAUAGCGCAUAGUACUGUGAAGGAAAGGUGAAAAGGACCCCGGGAGGGGAGUGAAAGAGAACCUGAAACCCUGUGUUUACAAGCUGUGGAAGUUCUUUAAAUGAACAACCGCGUACUUUUUGUAGAACGGUCCGGCGAGUUGCGGAUACUGGCAAGGUUAAGCACUUAAGGUGCGGAGCCGAAGGGAUACCAAGUCUUAACAGGGCGUUAAGUCAGUAUACGCAGACCCGAAACCGGGUGAUCUAUCCAUGUCCAGGUUGAAGUUGUCGUAAAAGACAAUGGAGGACCGAAGCCACAUCCGUUGAAAAGGGUGGGCAUGAGGUGUGGAUAGGGGAGAAAUUCCAAUCGAACCCGGAGAUAGCUGGUUCUCCUCGAAAUAGCUUUAGGGCUAGCCUCGAUUUAGUCUUAUGGAGGUAGAGCACUGAAUUUCCGCGGGGGCGUCAAAGCUUACCAAAGAAUAUCAAACUCCGAAUGCCAUGUAGAUGAUGAUCGGGAGUCAGACUGCACGAGAUAAGUUGGGCAGUCAAAAGGGAAAGAGCCCAGACCACCGGCUAAGGUCCCAAAGUGCGUGUUAAGUGGAAAAGGAUGUGGGAAUUCGAAGACAACUAGGAUGUUGGCUCAGAAGCAGCCAUACAUUCAAAGAGUGCGUAACAGCUCACUAGUCGAGAGUUCCUGCGCCGAAAAUGUCCGGGGCUGAAACACGACACCGAAGCCGUGGACUCGCAAUGCGAGUGGUAGAGGAGCAUUCUUAAAACCGACGAAGCUGUACCGGAAGGAGCAGUGGAGGGAUAAGAAGAGAGAAUGCCGGAAUGAGUAGCGAGAGAAAGGUGGGAAUCCUUUCGGCCGAAUAUCUAAGGUUUCCAGAGUAAAGCUGAUCUGCUCUGGGUAAGUCGGGGCCUAAGCACAGGUCGCAAGACGUAAGCGAUGGAUAACAGGUUUAGAUUCCUGUACCACGCAUUAUCAGAACUGUAGGGACGCAUGUGGAAAGCACGGGCCGGGAAUGGAAAGACCGGUACAAGCGAGGUAGGUGUACAACAGGCAAAUCCGUUGUAUAAUCCGAAGACGUGAUGUGGAGCGAAAUAAAGUAGUGAAGCGUGUGAGCCAUGUGCCGAGAAAAGCUGCUAUUGUGUAAUGCGUGCCCGUACCGUAAACCGACACAGGUGGAUGAGGAGAGAAUCCUAAGGCCGGCGGAAGAAGCAUUGUUAAGGAAUUCGGCAAAAUGACCCCGUAACUUCGGGAGAAGGGGUGCCUGCGAGAGCAGGCCGCAGAGAAUAGGCUCAAGCAACUGUUUAGCAAAAACACAGGUCUAUGCGAAACCGAAAGGUGAGGUAUAUGGGCUGACGCCUGCCCGGUGCUGGAAGGUUAAGGGGAGAGGUUAGCGCAAGCGAAGCUUUGAACUUAAGCCCCAGUAAACGGCGGCCGUAACUAUAACGGUCCUAAGGUAGCGAAAUUCCUUGUCGGGUAAGUUCCGACCCGCACGAAAGGCGUAAUGAUUUGAGCACUGUCUCGACAAUGCAUCCGGUGAAAUUG